UGGGGAAUAUUGCACAAUGGGCGCAAGCCUGAUGCAGCGACGCCGCGUGCGGGAUGGAGGCCUUCGGGUUGUAAACCGCUUUUGUUCAAGGGCAAGGCAGGCUUUCGGGCCUGUUGAGUGGAUUGUUCGAAUAAGCACCGGCUAACUAUGUGCC
rnacentral:rRNA from 1 species